GGGAGACGGGGGACGGUUUCUCCCGAGCUGCUCCCGCGUGCCCACCUCUCCACUCGUUUGCGGUUCCAGUCGAUUUGGGUUCCCAUUGGCGAGUGGCGACCGCGACGAGCGUAGGCGGCGGCAGCGGCUUCUGUCGGAUUUCUGCUGAAAUUGCGGCGAGGCGAGGUGGCGACGGCUGUGCUGUGGCGUUCGUCAGUGACCGAAGGGGCGAGGAGCAGCUUACCUCGAGGUCGGUUCUGAUUUCGACGGCAUGACCGUCCACACGGACCAGCAGCCCCGAGCCCUUGAUAUCCACCGGCGGCAGUGGCCGCCCCUCUCUCUCCCUCCCUCCCUCAGGCCAAGAGCAUACGGCGAAGACGACUCUCCCUCCACUUCACCCCGGUUGGCGGCGGCUUCGCACGGCUCGACCGUCGAGGGGCCCUCCCGCACAGCACGACCUCCGACCUCCCUGAGCCGCCGCAGGUCCUCAUCUUCCCUCCACCGCGUGUUCGACGAGAUGCACGCCCGCCCGCUCUCAUCUACUGUUAAGGAUUCAGUGCAGUUUCGGUGAAGAAGGGAGCAGUGGAGUUUCAUUUCAUGCCGUUAGGAAAUCAGGAGGCUGGGGUGAUAUGACCAAGGUUCUUAAAUUGGAUCCACCAGUUCAGCGGAUUUUCGUUGUUGCUCGUCAAAGAUCUUCUAGUUCUGUGUGCUGAGGUCAUUGAUGCCUUCUACAAGGCUCGUGCUCAGGAAAUGGAAAUUAGAGAGAUGGAUUUAAAUGCAAAGGUUGACGAGUUAGCAAGGAGCAACAGGCUACUCAACAUAAAGCAUCGGCAACUACUUCUGAAGCUACUGGAAAUGCUCUGCUAGAAGCUGAAUCAUUUUAUUAAUCUCAAGUUGAAAGACUUGGAAGAGAAGAAGGGAGAGUUGAACAGAAAUUAUUGGAAGACAAAGUGCAAAGCUCGGAGAAAGUAUGGUCAUUGGUUCAAGAAGAAUCUUUGAAAAAUCCGAGCCCUGGUACAUUUCUCCAUGCAUAUUAACCUUUUUAUUCACUAAUCGUACUUUCUUCAUCCUUAGUUGCAGAAGUAUAGGCAGCAUAGAUUGAUGCAGUGCCAAUGAUAAUUAGUUUGGUGGUUCUCUUUACUUCUUAAACAGCUAAUUAAUCAAUGUAGUAGUUUGUAUCUUUAAACAGCUAGUGUGAAAUAUGAAGUCAUUAGUAUAAUUACACGUAUUGUGAACAUUCAGCAGUUUGCUUCCGUAAAACAUUGAAUUCCUCGUUUUGUCUUUAGUACAUGCAAGUUUUGUUUACUGAAUGCAUACUGACUGAAUGUACAGGAACAUUUUUUUAUUGCCUAUAGUACUGGAUGGUCCGUGUAGUACAUGAUGAACUGACCUUUCGAAAUUGUUUAAAUUUACUUACCUUGAUUUCUCCUUUUAGCCUCACAAGGUGUGCACUACAUAAGGUUUACAGAAGGUUCAAAGCCAGGCAAAAUUUUGCAAGAACCCAGUUCAGCUUCAGUACAAACAGCAGCGACCCAUGUGCCGCGCCAAGGCACGCCCCAGCAGCCACCAAGGGGAUUGUUAGACUUCAAGCUUGCCGGCAGUGUGUUCACGAGUGUGAUGUGCAUCUUCUUCAGGAGCACUCUGCAUAGUUAGUCUCAAGAUGCAUAUACCUCUUUGUUUUGUUUUGCUUUCUGAACUUCGUGAAGUACUCACAAGCCCACCACAUUUUACCUCUUGUAAUUCAUUCACAUUUUCUUUUAUACAGUAGGAAAAACUUCCACGAUAUAAGAAAUAUUU